rnacentral:rRNA from 1 species
GUUUGUUUCUGACACUGAAUACACCCAAUCUCAUCUGAUCUACAAAGCUAAACAGGGUUGGGCCUGGUUAGUAUUUGGAUGGGAGACUACCUGGGAAUACCAGGUGCUGUAAGCU